UGCAAGUCGAGCGGUAAGGCCUUUCGGGGUACACGAGCGGCGAACGGGUGAGUAACACGUGGGUGAUCUGCCCUGCACUUCGGGAUAAGCCUGGGAAACUGGGUCUAAUACCGGAUAUGACCUCAGGUUGCAUGACUUGGGGUGGAAAGAUUUAUCGGUGCAGGAUGGGCCCGCGGCCUAUCAGCUUGUUGGUGGGGUAAUGGCCUACCAAGGCGACGACGGGUAGCCGACCUGAGAGGGUGACCGGCCACACUGGGACUGAGACACGGCCCAGACUCCUACGGGAGGCAGCAGUGGGGAAUAUUGCACAAUGGGCGAAAGCCUGAUGCAGCGACGCCGCGUGAGGGAUGACGGCCUUCGGGUUGUAAACCUCUUUCAGCAGGGACGAAGCGCAAGUGACGGUACCUGCAGAAGAAGCACCGGCUAACUACGUGCCAGCAGCCGCGGUAAUACGUAGGGUGCAAGCGUUGUCCGGAAUUACUGGGCGUAAAGAGUUCGUAGGCGGUUUGUCGCGUCGUUUGUGAAAACCAGCAGCUCAACUGCUGGCUUGCAGGCGAUACGGGCAGACUUGAGUACUGCAGGGGAGACUGG
rnacentral:rRNA from 1 species